CCUACGGGAGGCAGCAGUGAGGAAUAUUGGUCAAUGGACGCGAGCCUGAACCAGCCAAGCCGCGUGCAGGAUGACUGCCCUACGGAUUGUAAACUUCUUUUAUACGGGAAUAAAGUCAGGCACGCGUGCCUUUUUGUAUGUACUUUAUGAAUAAGGAUCGGCUAACUCCGUGCCAGCAGCCGCGGUAAUACGGAGGAUCCGAGCGUUAUCCGGAUUUAUUGGGUUUAAAGGGUGCGUAGAUGGGUGGGUAAGUCAGUGGUGAAAUUUUGUGGCUCAACUGUGAAAUUGCAUCUGAUACUGGUAGGCUUGAGAACAGUUGCGGUAGGCGGAAUUUGUGGUGUAGCGGUGAAAUGCUUAGAGAUCACGAAGAACACCGAUUGCGAAGGCAGCUUACUAAGCUGCUUCUGACAUUGAGGCACGAAAGUGUGGGGAUCAAACAGGAUUAGAUACCCCUGUAGUC
rnacentral:rRNA from 1 species